GGGACAGAGGAUGGAACAGCCUGUUCCUGAAGGACUGCAAUCCAUGGAUGGGACCCACAGUGAAGCAAUUCAUGAAGAACUGCUGCCAAUGGGAGGGAC